rnacentral:rRNA from 1 species
GACGAACGCUGGCGGCGUGCUUAACACAUGCAAGUCGAACGGAAAGGCCCUGCUUUUGUGGUGUUCUCGAUGGGCGAACGGGUGAGUAACACGUGAGUAACCUGCCCUUGACUUUGGGAUAACUUCAGGAAACUGGGGCUAAUACCGUAUAGGAUCUCCUGCUGCAGGGUGGGGGUGGGGAAGUUUCGGCGGUUGGGGAUGGACGCGCGGCUUAUCAGCUUGUUGGUGGGGUAGUGGCUUACCAAGGCUUUGACGGGUAGCCGGCCUGGGAGGGUGACCGGCCACAUGGGGACUGCGAUACGGCCCAGAGUCCUACGGGAGGCAGCAGGGGGGAAUCUUGCACAAUGGGCGGAAGCCUGAUGCAGAAACGCCGCGUGCGGGAUGACGGCCUUCGGGUUGUAAACAGCUUUAGCCUGUGACGAAGCGUGAGUGACGGUAAUGGGUAAAGAAGCACCGGCUAACUACGUG